UUUUUAUUUUUACAGGGAUAUACAAAGGGGAGUUACAAUUGGAUAAAGACAAAAAAUGAAAAUUGGAAAAAAUCAUAAAUGAAAAAAAAAAAAAAAAAAAAAAAAAAAAAACAAUUCUGGAAUCCAGUUGAAAAUUGAUGAUGGUAUUUAGGAUGUUUGAGCGAGCACAGAGUGAUGCUGAUAAUUGCCUGUCUGAGAGGCCAUGUAGUCCCACAGUCUAGUCCCCAGACAUCACAGCCCAGCCCAGAGCACACUGCACACUUACUGGAUAGAUGACAGACAAAUAGAAAAUGGUAAUUUAUGUGUGAGGCUUUUUUUUUUUUUUUUCCUUUUUUUUUUUCAGAGAGUCGACAGGCCACCAAACCCCUCAGAGACCACAGAGAGUGAUACUGCUGCUCAGAAAUCACAGCAUAAUGUGCCGGAAAAGGGAUGAUACUCCAGGGUGUGAGGUCCAGAUUCUGCUCUCUAUGGGGAGGCCGGUGCAGUGAAAGAGGGAUGAAAGCAAACACAUGGGAAAAAAGCCGGCGCUGCUUGUUUUGAUGUGAAUGGAGCAGCAGCUUAAAGGAUCACACCAUUCAAAGCAGCUGUGAGGGUAGAGAGGACUUCCAGAGUGGAGGUCUACAGCAGAGCAGAAUCUGUGGUACACUAGAGCCCCCUGUAGGCCUGGAAAGGUAUUGUGGAAAGGUGGGAGCUCCGUUCGACAGUGAAAGUGUGUGGUUUCUCAUCCUUCCCGCAGCUGAGACCUGGUUCCUCUUCAGCACGCAUACACUCAGUGAUGCCCCAACACCAGGAGGGUGAAGACUAGUACAUGCCCCCUCCGAUAAAUGUGAAGUCAGCCACCAACUCUUCUCGAACUGCUGAGUAGCAUCACAGCAUGCUCUGAUGAAAGUGUAGCGACUCGGUUCCGAU
rnacentral:lncRNA from 1 species